GCAGGCGCAGAAUGAAGCAUUAACCCAAUGUGACUCCGGACCAGGGAUCUGACGAUCAAUAUCAAGAAAAUCAACCAACCAAGGAUAAACAGCGGCAGUAACUAUCACUCUCCGAAGGUAAGCAAACGCCUGAGCAUCUAAAUCGAGACGCGAAUGAUUAGCUUAACCAGAUUGCCUCUCUCUCUACCUACCCUCUAUCGAAAACCCAGCCAACGAAUCCAGAUUGGCAGAAUCAGCGGAGAAAGAAGAUCCUGUUGAGCUUGACUCUAGUUUGACAUUGUGAAAAGACAUAGGAGGUGUAGAAUAGGUGGAGCUUCGGCGCCGGUGAAAUACCACUACUCCUAUUGUUUUUUUACUUAUUCAGUGA
rnacentral:rRNA from 1 species